rnacentral:lncRNA from 1 species
AUUACUUUGAUUUCUUCUAUUUUCAUGUGUUUUCAUAUCAAUUAACAAAUAAGGCCUCCCGCCAAAAUGAAAAAGCCUUAGGGCAAAAGUAACAGAUAAUGGAACGCAGUUCACAGGGGAAAAAAUAAGGAGAUUCUGUAAAGACAGGGGAAAAAGUAAGGAAAUUCUGUAAGGAAAAAAGCCUUAGGGCAGUAAGGUCAUAAGACCAAAUAAGGUCUCCCACCAAAAUGAAAAAGCCUUAGGGCAAAAGUAACAGAUAAUGGAACGCAGUUCACAGGGGAAAAAAUAAGGAGAUUCUGUAAAGACAGGGGAAAAAGUAAGGAUCAGCAUGUCCCGCUCAUAAUACCACUCGGAGGGGGGGCAGGGAACGCAUGAUCAGCAUGCUGUCUGCGUCCUCGGCAACGUCAAACAAUAGAAGAAACAACAGAGCGGUCGUCAGAGACAGGAUCAACGGCAGGAGUUACAUGGAUACCACCCGGAGCGACACGGAACUCAAUCACAACAUCAUUUUCAACUUGGCAAAGAACAAAAAGGCGACAUUGAACAGCUAGAAGCAAAGAGUUAAGGCGGUGUCUCUCGGCAACAGCAAGGGCGUGAGCUUCUUCCCUGCGGAGAAUAAAACUUUCGGACCAAGCAGCUUGUUGGUGUACUAGGUUGCGGCCAAGCUCCUCCAAUAACAUAGGGCGAAGACAUGUUGAGUUCAGAAAAGUUCAAGAAAAGUAAAGAAAAGAAGAAUUUACAGGCUGCGGAAGGGGGGAGUACUGAUGAUACCCCUGGUCCAUCAGACCAGGCCCAGCAAGCCCACUUGACCAGUGAAAGAAGACCCGGUCCAGUAGGAAAGUGUAUAAAUACCCCUAGGGGUUGAAUGUAGGAGGGGGGAGGAAACAUUUGUAAUAUACUUACAGUAAAGUGUCUGGUAUAUACUUCGAAGUAUAUACCAUCAGUGGUGAAC